GGGUUGUGAGGUUAAGCGACUAAGCGUACACGGUGGAUGCCCUGGCAGUCAGAGGCGAUGAAGGGCGUGCUAAUCUGCGAUAAGCGCCGGUAAGGUGAUAUGAACCGUUAUAACCGGCGAUACCCGAAUGGGGAAACCCAGUGUGACUCGUCACACUAUCAUUAACUGAAUCCAUAGGUUAAUGAGGCGAACCGGGGGAACUGAAACAUCUAAGUACCCCGAGGAAAAGAAAUCAACCGAGAUUCCCCCAGUAGCGGCGAGCGAACGGGGAGGAGCCCAGAGCCUGAAUCAGCAUGUGUGUUAGUGGAAGCGUCUGGAAAGGCGCGCGAUACAGGGUGACAGCCCCGUACACAAAAGCGCAUGUGCUGUGAGCUCGAUGAGUAGGGCGGGACACGUGGUAUCCUGUCUGAAUAUGGGGGACCAUCCUCCAAGGCUAAAUACUCCUGACUGACCGAUAGUGAACCAGUACCGUGAGGGAAAGGCGAAAAGAACCCCGGCGAGGGGAGUGAAAAAGAACCUGAAACCGUGUACGUACAAGCAGUGGGAGCACCCUUUGGGGUGUGACUGCGUACCUUUUGUAUAAUGGGUCAGCGACUUAUAUUCUGUAGCAAGGUUAACCGAAUAGGGGAGCCGGAGGGAAACCGAGUCUUAAUUGGGCGUUAAGUUGCAGGGUAUAGACCCGAAACCCGGUGAUCUAGCCAUGGGCAGGUUGAAGGUUGGGUAACACUAACUGGAGGACCGAACCGACUAAUGUUGAAAAAUUAGCGGAUGACCUGUGGCUGGGGGUGAAAGGCCAAUCAAACCGGGAGAUAGCUGGUUCUCCCCGAAAGCUAUUUAGGUAGCGCCUCGUGAAUUCAUCUCCGGGGGUAGAGCACUGUUUCGGCUAGGGGGCCAUCCCGGCUUACCAACCCGAUGCAAACUGCGAAUACCGGAGAAUGUUAUCACGGGAGACACACGGCGGGUGCUAACGUCCGUCGUGAAGAGGGAAACAACCCAGACCGCCAGCUAAGGUCCCAAAGUCAUGGUUAAGUGGGAAACGAUGUGGGAAGGCCCAGACAGCCAGGAUGUUGGCUUAGAAGCAGCCAUCAUUUAAAGAAAGCGUAAUAGCUCACUGGUCGAGUCGGCCUGCGCGGAAGAUGUAACGGGGCUAAACCAUGCACCGAAGCUGCGGCAGCGACGCUGAUGCGUUGUUGGGUAGGGGAGCGUUCUGUAAGCCUGCGAAGGUGGCCUGUGAGGGUUGCUGGAGGUAUCAGAAGUGCGAAUGCUGACAUAAGUAACGAUAAAGCGGGUGAAAAGCCCGCUCGCCGGAAGACCAAGGGUUCCUGUCCAACGUUAAUCGGGGCAGGGUGAGUCGACCCCUAAGGCGAGGCCGAAAGGCGUAGUCGAUGGGAAACGGGUUAAUAUUCCCGUACUUGGUGUUACUGCGAAGGGGGGACGGAGAAGGCUAUGUUGGCCGGGCGACGGUUGUCCCGGUUUAAGCGUGUAGGCUGGUUUUCCAGGCAAAUCCGGAAAAUCAAGGCUGAGGCGUGACGACGAGGCACUACGGUGCUGAAGCAACAAAUGCCCUGCUUCCAGGAAAAGCCUCUAAGCAUCAGGUAACACGAAAUCGUACCCCAAACCGACACAGGUGGUCAGGUAGAGAAUACCAAGGCGCUUGAGAGAACUCGGGUGAAGGAACUAGGCAAAAUGGUGCCGUAACUUCGGGAGAAGGCACGCUGACAUGUAGGUGAAGUGAUUUACUCAUGGAGCUGAAGUCAGUCGAAGAUACCAGCUGGCUGCAACUGUUUAUUAAAAACACAGCACUGUGCAAACACGAAAGUGGACGUAUACGGUGUGACGCCUGCCCGGUGCCGGAAGGUUAAUUGAUGGGGUCAGCGCAAGCGAAGCUCCUGAUCGAAGCCCCGGUAAACGGCGGCCGUAACUAUAACGGUCCUAAGGUAGCGAAAUUCCUUGUCGGGUAAGUUCCGACCUGCACGAAUGGCGUAAUGAUGGCCAGGCUGUCUCCACCCGAGACUCAGUGAAAUUGAACUCGCUGUGAAGAUGCAGUGUACCCGCGGCAAGACGGAAAGACCCCGUGAACCUUUACUAUAGCUUGACACUGAACAUUGAGCCUUGAUGUGUAGGAUAGGUGGGAGGCUUUGAAGUGUGGACGCCAGUCUGCAUGGAGCCGACCUUGAAAUACCACCCUUUAAUGUUUGAUGUUCUAACGUGGACCCGUGAUCCGGGUUGCGGACAGUGUCUGGUGGGUAGUUUGACUGGGGCGGUCUCCUCCUAAAGAGUAACGGAGGAGCACGAAGGUUGGCUAAUCCUGGUCGGACAUCAGGAGGUUAGUGCAAUGGCAUAAGCCAGCUUGACUGCGAGCGUGACGGCGCGAGCAGGUGCGAAAGCAGGUCAUAGUGAUCCGGUGGUUCUGAAUGGAAGGGCCAUCGCUCAACGGAUAAAAGGUACUCCGGGGAUAACAGGCUGAUACCGCCCAAGAGUUCAUAUCGACGGCGGUGUUUGGCACCUCGAUGUCGGCUCAUCACAUCCUGGGGCUGAAGUAGGUCCCAAGGGUAUGGCUGUUCGCCAUUUAAAGUGGUACGCGAGCUGGGUUUAGAACGUCGUGAGACAGUUCGGUCCCUAUCUGCCGUGGGCGCUGGAGAACUGAGGGGGGCUGCUCCUAGUACGAGAGGACCGGAGUGGACGCAUCACUGGUGUUCGGGUUGUCAUGCCAAUGGCACUGCCCGGUAGCUAAAUGCGGAAGAGAUAAGUGCUGAAAGCAUCUAAGCACGAAACUUGCCCCGAGAUGAGUUCUCCCUGAGACUUUAGGUCUCCUGAAGGAACGUUGAAGACGACGACGUUGAUAGGCCGGGUGUGUAAGCGCAGCGAUGCGUUGAGCUAACCGGUACUAAUGAACCGUGAGGCUUAACCUUACAACGCCGAAG
rnacentral:rRNA from 2 species